rnacentral:rRNA from 1 species
UCAGCUCCGGUGGAGCAUGUGGUUUAAUUCGAUGCAACGCGAAGAACCUUACCUACUCUUGACAUCCAGAGAACUUUCCAGAGAUGGAUUGGUGCCUUCGGGAACUCUGAGACAGGUGCUGCAUGGCUGUCGUCAGCUCGUGUUGUGAAAUGUUGGGUUAAGUCCCGCAACGAAGCGCAACCCUUAUCCUUUGUUGCCAGCGGUUCGGCCGGGAACUCAAAGGAGACUGCCAGUGAUAAACUGGAGGAAGGGGUGGGAGUGUGGGGAUGACGUCAAGUCAUCAUGGCCCUUACGAGUAGGGCUACACAUCGUGCUACAAUGGCCGCAUACAAAGAGAAGCGACCUCGCGAGAGCAAGCGGACCUCAUAAAGUGCGUCGUAGUCCGGAUUGGAGUCUGCAACUCGACUCCAUGAAGUCGGAAUCGCUAGUAAUCGUAGAUCAGAAUGCUACGGUGAAUACGUUCCCGGGCCUUGUACACACCGCCCGUCACACCAUGGGAGUGGGUUGCAAAAAGAAGUAGGUAGCUUAACCUUCGGGAGGG